ACUCGCUUACUGCGUACAUGCUUGCGCUGCUUCAGGCAAAGACCCUCCUUUGCUCAACCUCGGAUGGGAGAUCUUCCAGCCAUGAGGGUUCAGCAGAUCAAGCCCUUUGCUAAGUCAGGAGUCGACUAUGCUGGACCAUUUCCCAUCAAACUUGCUAGGGUGCGCAGGGCACCCAUCUUGAAGGCUUACCUUUGUAUCUUUGUAUGCUGUGCCACCAGAGCCGUCCACGUUGAACUCGCCUCUGAUCUAUCCACUGAGGCAUUUAUUGCUGCUUACAAGCGCUUAUUGGUAGGCGAGGAAGAUCUUCAGACAUUUACUCAGAUUGUGGCACAAACUUUGUGGGAGCACACAAUCACCUCAAGGAGCUUCAACAGCUAGUGUCGUCACCUGGUCAUCAACAAGCCAUCACGGAUGCCGUGUCUCAGCUCGGUAUUACAUGGCACUUCAACCCACCUGCCGCUCCUCACUUCGGUGGCCUCUGGGAGGCUGGAGUCAAGUCUUUCAAAACCCAUCUUCAGAAAGUGAUUUGUGAGCAGGUGUUGACGUAUGAAGAGUUGUGCAGUGUACUGGUCCAGGUGGAAGCCACCUUGAAUUCCCGACCGUUGUGUCCAUUGAGCAGCGACCCCAACAACGUCAAUGCGUUGACUCCUGGUCAUUUCUUGACAUUGGAACCAUUGGUAACAUUGCCAGAGCCUGAUCUUCAGAAUGUUCCGCUAAAUCAUCUAAAUCGUUGGCAGCUUGUGGAGCGGCUACAGCAGGAUUUCUGGCAUCGCUGGCACAGAGACUAUCUGCACACUUUGCAACAGCGACACAAGUGGCACAAACCAGCAACGCCUCUUGUACCCCAUCAGCUCGUGCUGCUGAAAGAAGAGAGAUCACCACCUCUUCAGUGGCGCCUGGGGCGUAUCCAGAACCUUCACCCUGGAAAGGAUGGUGUGGCAAGAGUGGCUACUGUGCGCACCAUCACUGGAUCUCUCAAACGCCCAGUGGUCAAACUCUGUCCCCUACCAUUGUGUUGAAAUGACGUUUCAAGGUGGGCGGAAUGUUCAGACUGUAUAUUAGUGUGUGUUAUUUUGUGUCAGUAACAUUUAUUAGACCUGGACGUAAUCAGUGCUUCUGAGAAGUCUCUGAAUACUUCAAAUUUGUAUUUCCCGCGCUGCUGUGUAGUAGCAGCCAUUAUUCAGCAAUCUCUGCCAAUAGUUGGCAGCCCUGGACUUCCAGCCGGAAGUCAGUCAUAUGUUUCAUCAUGGCGCGAAGGAGAUACGGACCGUCGCCGGAUGGGCCGGGCCCUGGCUGCUCCCGGUGAUCUCCGAGGUGUCCGGCAGGGGCACCUUCCUGCCGAAGCACCGCAGCACGGAGACGCGGAGGUUCCGGCGCACCCUCUGGUUGACGAAGCAGUAGCCGAGCAGGGAGAAGACAGCGUGCACGAGCACGGCCAGCGACACCAUGUACCACAGCACGGGCAGCUCCUCGCUGCCGGAGAGCAUCGCCAGGACCCACGUUAUCCCCAGCAGUGGGAGCGACACCACGGACAGCCACAGCAGAGUUCUGCGGAGAUGACGUACACGUGGAACCCUGUUAUCAUGUUCCGCUUAUAACAUUUGCUUUCUAAAAUUUAAGGAAUGCAAAAAUAUGUAGAAAUAGAAACCUAACUAUUCCAACACUUACGGCAUUUGUGACGUUACACAUGUUAAAUUGUUUACUUUACACUUUGCGUGCGUUUUUGUUUAGAUACUGUUUUUGUUUCACUGUUAUACCUUAGAUGUAGGUUGUUCAAAU